UACGGAGGGGGCAAGCGUUGUUCGGAAUCAUUGGGCGUAAAGGGCGCGUAGGCGGCCUUGCAAGUCAAAGGUGAAAUCCCUCGGCCUAACCGAGGAACUGCCUUUGAUACUGCAUGGCUCGAGGCCGGGAGAGGGUAGCGGAAUUCCCAGUGUAGCGGUGAAAUGCGUAGAUAUUGGGAGGAACACCAGUGGCGAAGGCGGCUACCUGGACCGGUUCUGACGCUGAUGCGCGAAAGCGUGGGGAGCAAACAGG
rnacentral:rRNA from 1 species